UUGUUAUCGGUGAAGAUAUGGUGGUCGAUCUCGAACCUAUUGUUGCUGUGACGAUGGGCAUUGAAUUUUGUAUCUAGCUCAUCAAGAUUGUAACUUGCUUUGUGUUACGGACUCGUCACCCUUGUCAGGGUAGAGUGGUAGUUCCAGCGCCAUCUACGAGUCCGCACCCGAACUGCCCGGGAAUCGUACGUAAUAUGGACAAUGCCAUCUGAGGGUGGCUAUCUAAAACCUAUAAAUGACUAAAGAUUCCUGCCUUGGUCAGCCAGAGGGGUCGUUGUGAGUGACCUCUGGUGAGGUGACGCAUCAAGACCAGCACCACCUAGUGCGUGAUACAGAGCAUAAUGUCAACUCCCCAGUAGGCCCAGUGCAGGAUCUCCCAUCACCUAGGCAGACCGCCUCAGCCAUUUCCUCGAUACACAAAGGCACUGUAUCACUGCAACAGUCGAGAACAAAUUCACAACAUCUAGCUGCAACAGCCACGUGCAAACACGAAGAUGCGGAGCAACACGUCCUCCUCGCAUCAUGCAGCAGACCGCACUAAGGACGGCCAACCAAACACGCGGCUCACUAAUCUCAACUCGGGCCACGGCAGUUUUGGGUCAUGUCUGCCAGCUGGCCUCUCUGUGGGGACCUUCACACCCUCUCGCCCCUCUCAACACCAAAUAGCCAAAGCUCAUCCCCCGCAAGCAGAAUAA